rnacentral:misc_RNA from 1 species
GGCGACCUCAAAAUCCUCCGUUAAAACUUGUUAUUGUUUUCCCAAUCCUUUACUGGGGAAGUGAUAACUGCGCGAGGAUUGUUUCAACUCUGGCUACAAAGAUUCAGUUGUAUGAACUAGACUAGAUGGAUCCCGAGGUUGGAUUGAGACUUCUUUUUUCUCCACUGGCUUCUAAUAUUGUUGUGCGGACAGCAUGCUGUUCUGUGGGGGUUGUUUUACCUGUUUAUUCCACAUUUAAGGCAAUUGAGGGAAGAGAUGAAAACGAGCAGAGAAAGUGGCUACUGUAUUGGGCAGCUUAUGGGUCUUUCAGUGUUGUUGAGUUAUUCACCGAUAAAUUUCUCUAUUGGUUUCCACUUUAUUACCACAUGAAGUUUGCAUUUCUUGUUUGG